GCCUUUGCUUGGCGGCGUUGUCCCCCCUCUCCGAGUCCUCCAACGCGGACCUCCACGCCACAGAGCUGUGCCGCCAACAGGCGGCGCCGGCCUUCAGUCGCUUCUACUCCGCCGUCCGCGUCAACCGCAGCGUGCUGUGCGUCACCGCCUGCAGCCCCGGCGUCCCCGGCGCCAUCCAUUGUCACCACGGCCUCUGCCGGGUCACAACGCAGGGACCGCGCUGCUUCUGCCCCCAACUUCCAGGCUUCCUCUCCUCCGGCGACCGCUGCCAGACCCACAUCAGCCGCGUGGGGCUGGGGGUGGGAGUGGGGCUGGGGCUGGGGCUGCCCCUCCUCCUCCUCCUCCUCCUCCUCCUCCUCUUCCUCCUCUGCCCCACACGCUGCGCCCCACGGCGGGGGAAGGGCCGCGCCAGCAGGUGACCACGCUCCCCUUGCCCACUUCGCCCCAUUGGCCCCACAUUGCCCCCGUUUCCCCUUGACCCCAAAUCCGACCCCUUGACCCCAAAUCUGAACCCUUGACCCCAAAUCUGAUCCUUGAGCCUAAAUCCUGACCCCUCGACCCCAAAUCGUGGCUCUUGACCCCAAAUCCUGGCCCUUGAACCUAAAUCUGACCCCAAAUCCUGGCCCUUGAACCUAAAUCUGACCCCAAAUCCUGGCCCUUCACCUCAAAUCUGAACCCUUGGCCCCAAAUCUGAGCCCUUGACCUCAAAUCUGACCCCUUGACCCUAAAUCCUGGCCAUUGAACCUAAAUCUGACCCCUUGACCUCAAAUCCUGGCCAUUGAACCUA